rnacentral:rRNA from 1 species
GACGAACGCUGGCGGCGUGCUUAACACAUGCAAGUCGAACGGUAAGGCCCUUCGGGGUACACGAGUGGCGAACGGGUGAGUAACACGUGGGUGAUCUGCCCUGCACUUCGGGAUAAGCCUGGGAAACUGGGUCUAAUACCGGAUAGGACCACUGCCUGCAUGGGUGGCGGUGGAAAGCUUUUGCGGUGUGGGAUGGGCCCGCGGCCUAUCAGCUUGUUGGUGGGGUGAUGGCCUACCAAGGCGACGACGGGUAGCCGGCCUGAGAGGGUGACCGGCCACACUGGGACUGAGAUACGGCCCAGACUCCUACGGGAGGCAGCAGUGGGGAAUAUUGCACAAUGGGCGCAAGCCUGAUGCAGCGACGCCGCGUGAGGGAUGACGGCCUUCGGGUUGUAAACCUCUUUCAGCACCGACGAAGCGCAAGUGACGGUACCUACAGAAGAAGGACCGGCCAACUACGUGCCAGCAGCCGCCGCCG